rnacentral:lncRNA from 1 species
AUAAUAUCAUUGUUAUUAAAUUUGAUUGUUUUAAUUAUGGAAAAUUAUGUAAGAGACCAUCACUGAUAGUGUCUUAUUUCUCUAUAUUUAAAAAAAUUGAAUCUAAAUCUAAAAUCUAAAGCAACCGUAAAAUUACGAGUACCAAAAAAUAUCUAAAAAAAAAAUAUGUAAUUUGAUUAUUUUUGAAUAUUUUCAAGAUAUAUGGAUAUUAUUUUUAGAUAUCUUCAGAUAUAUUCGGGUAUAAAAAAUUAUGAUUACCACAUCCUUACUAAUGCAUACAAGUUGCUUACGUAAGAUCAGUUGAUACAACGUAAACACUUAAAAUAUCACCACUAUACUCGGGUCCCGACAAGUGCUCUCGAUCCAAAAAAGACACGACACAAAGUAUCCUCAAAGUUUGG